rnacentral:rRNA from 1 species
CAGUAGCCGCGGUAAUACGAAGGGUGCAAGCGUUAAUCGGAAUUACUGGGCGUAAAGCGUGCGUAGGCGGUGAGUUAAGUCUGCUGUGAAAUCCCCGGGCUCAACCUGGGAAUGGCAGUGGAUACUGGCUCGCUAGAGUGUGUCAGAGGAUGGUGGAAUUCCCGGUGUAGAGGUGAAAUUCGUAGAUAUUGGGAAGAACACCGGUGGCGAAGGCGGCAACCUGGUCCUUUACUGACGCUGAGGCGCGAAAGCGUGUGGAGCAAACAGGAUUAGAGACCCCUGUAGUCCCUGUCUCUUAUAA